ACUGGUCAGUUAUUGAAAAUAUGUUACAAAAUGUUGAUCUAUAUUAAAAAGGGGUGCUGUAAUUAUGUGGUAGCCUGUUGUUAGCACAGACGCACUUUCACUAAUGCAAUUGUUUAAAACAAGUUACUCCACUUCGUGUGCAGCAUCUGUUCUCUAUUCAUGAAAUCUGUGGUUCAUCAGGUCUGUUUCACCUGUAAUUUAUUGCUCUCCAUGAAGCAUCAUCAGUGAAGCAGGUACAGAGAUAAAGCAGUAGCAUCACUUCCAGUGCUGCUGGAUGUGUGUGGAAAUAUCCCCUACUGGUCCCCUGAUAUAAAGGACCUAACAUUGGUAUGAAUUAAGUAAUAAAGUGGAUAUUCCACAUAUUAAGUAUUUUCUAAUACCUGGCUUCAAAUUGUGUUCAGGUCAAACACGGAAAAAAUAUUUUAUUUGUGGUUCUGACAUCUGUAAGUAGGAAAAUCUUGCUAAAAUGUAUUAGGACUGUUUAUUUUCUGAAGGGUCUUAUUUAGUAAAGAAUGCCAUAAUUGUUAGUAUAAUUAAGCUACAUUGAUAUUUAGUAUUGCAGGUUUAAUCAGGUAAAUGUUUUGUAUGUGGACAGUCUCCUGUAAGGACGUAAAUACAGCACUUGGAUUUUUAACAGUUAAAUUAGUAAGAAGUUAAUCAUGAAAUUUAACAAUGUUUGUGCUGUGAAUGUUAUCAGUAAAUAAUAAAAAAAUCAACUAAUUGGUUUAUACAUUCAGUAAGCAUUAUGUGGAAAACAACUUCCUUCGUUAGGUGAAAAGGUGAUUACUUAAUGUAUGAGCUGAAAAUCUGCAUAUGCUUCCAGAAGAGUACGUAAAUUUGUCUCUCUCUCUCUCUCUCUCUCUCUCUCUCUCUCUCUCUCUCUCUCACACACACACACACACUGUCGUCAGAAAAUGUAACUUUUGGUUGUAAACUCUGUGUAGAUAAAUUAAGAUACGCUCAUUUACCAUACUUACAUUUUUUGUAGUUGCUACAACAAUAUACAGUCUCAUAUAACAUUGGUGGAUAUGUGAGUACUGAUGUUUUGUAAUUUAUUAUCUCUGUCUUUUUUUUUUUUUUUCAUUAAGCAUUAUCAAAACUGUGUGUUUCAAUUUCUAUCUCUACUGUAUCUAAGACUAACAAGUAAUUAUCAUUUUAUUCAGCAUAGGAGAAUCUCAUUAUUGUUUUCGUUAUUACAUGUUACUAUUUUUUUCUUAAAUUGAUACAUUUCAUUUACAGUUUUCAUUGUUUAAAAUUUUUGUUAUGUUGAAUGUACAGGGUUUCAUAGGUUGCUUAAUACAUUUUAAAUUCAUUUGUUGAUGGUUAUGUUGGACUUAGUAACCAUUUUCAGGUGCUAUGCAUGAAAUGGAAAAACUAAAUACUUCAUUUACCAUUGGGUUGAAAUCUUUUGUUUUUGAGAGAGGCGACAUUUUUGGAGGUUAGUGUUUACAUUUUCCACAGUCAUCUGACAAGUGGGCAAUCAACAUUUAUCACAAGUUAAUAACUUGAAUGCAACAUAUUGAUGUUCCACAAUAAUAUUUACUAGUUCAUUAUGAACUGGCUUUCGGCUUCUUUUUCCAUCAUCAGAUAACUUAGUGUUGCACAGACAGUCUACACAGCUUCAGUGAGAACUCAUCGCUGUACAAAGAAUGCUGUACAAUCUACUUGUUCAUUGUCAUUAAAAUAUCGUGAACAGAAGAUAAAAUAAUGGCUUGGAGACAGACAACUAUUCGCAUCACAAAGGAAGUCCAGGCAAGUAGAUACCAUACAUCAUUUGGAACAACUACCAUUCCGUUCUACAGAAUUAAACAUUUUGAAGUCUCGUCAAGCUUUUCUCCAUUUCCAGUGUUGUCAGUGUGGAAAUUGGUAUCAGCAUAAAGGUUCUCUCAGUCGACAUCUUAGAUUAGAAUGUGGAAAAGAACCAUUAUUCAGUUGUUCCUUAUGUUCGUACAAAUCAAAACAGAAACAUGAUGUGAAGAGACACUUUCUUAAAAAACAUAUGAAACAUUAAAAUUGUGGUAUCCUCUGCCAUUUCUUGUAUUGCUGCAAUAUUUUGAUACAGGUGUUCUGGAAAAGUGAUUGUAAUUGGAAAGAAUGUGUAAGAUCUUUUUGCUUGUGCAGUUGUAUCUUAAAAAACGACGACUUCUUAAGAAAUUAUGGUUAUGAUGUGCACUUUCAUAACUUGUAACAUAAUCAUUAAAUGAAGUCUGCAUAAUUUUUUCACAUACACAGUUGAACAAUUUGGUGGCGGAGGGGAUUCAUAAUGGAGGAUGAACUACCAGAUGUCAGAUAAAUUUUGUGUCCUCCUUUCACUCUUUUUGUGCUUUUCAGAAUCUGAUUUUUUGUUAUUUUUUGCUUCACCAAAUAAAAAUAGAGUUACUGUACAUUAACCGUAUACCCUUGCAUACAGGACCUCUUUGAAAAUAUUUUUCCGCACAAGAAACUUAUCAUUUGUCCCCCUUCCCCCCCACUUGUUUCUCCCUCAUACACUUUCAGCUAAGUCAGUUUUCACUACUAAUUGUGAUUCAACCUGUACACAAAUCUUGCUCUUGGUCGAUGCCCCAAACGGCCACUAGUAAUUGUAAUACAAACUGUAUAGAAAUCUUUCAGUUGCAAUUCCUCUAGCACCCAUCUCCGCUUGGCGCCCCCAAGCAUCCCAAACAAUGGUUGGUGUCAAUUGGGUCUUAAACCGGCUGUGCCUCCAUAGAUUGAUUGUUUUAAAAAAUUAAUACUUUAUUUUCCUGAAUGAGGUCACUUAAUUCUACCUUGUGAUCAUAAUUCUGAUAUUGUUGAAGUGACAAACAGUUCACAGCAGAUUUUAUAUUCGCGAGAAAUGGUAUUCUGUAGUCAUGAAAUCAUCUAAAUUUUUUACGGUUGUUCUAGUGAUGUGAACAUGUUCAAGAACUAUAAAGACUAUUUCACACCUAUGAAGACUAAUCCAAAUGCUAUUAAAAUUUCACGGUAUAAAGUUGAGCAGUGCACUUGUGAUGGGAAAUACAUUUUUAAGGUAAGAAAUGGUCAACAAACAACUGUUUUCUCUGUGCUUUUACCCUUGAAAGAAAUAUAUACUGCAAGAGCAAGAAAAAUAGUGCAUCUCGGAUUUCGGGAGGAAUUACUGUAUACUGUACUAUGCUUUUACUUGUCAAGUAAGCUAAAUAUGAAGAUAUGAUGAAGUAUAUUGCGAUAGGAGACACAGAUUUCUAUGAAAAACAACAUCUCAGAAAAUGAAGUUAGUUCAGGAAAAUCAGAGUAAAACAGUAAGUUAAAGCAAUGAGAUGAAACCACUUAUAACUUUAAUUUAUGGUAAUUUGUAUCUUUAUAACAUUUGACUGUUAUAUAUCUU